rnacentral:rRNA from 1 species
UACGUAGGUGGCAAGCGAUACUCGGAAUCACUAGGCGUAAAGCGCAGGUAGGCGGUUUGGUAAGUCUUUUGUGAAAGCUCCCGGCUUAACUGGGAGAGGUCAAGGGAAACUACCGGACUAGAGUGUGGUAGGGGAUACUGGAAUUCCUGGUGUAGCGGUGAAAUGCGUAGAUAUCAGGAGGAAUACCUAUGGCGAAAGCAGGUAUCUGGGCCAUCACUGACGCUGAGCUGACGAAAGCUAGGGGAGCAAACAGG